UGCCCCUGUGGCGGAAUGGUAGACGCGAACGACUCAAAAUCGUUUGUCGAAAGGCGUGCCCGUUCGAGUCGGGCCAGGGGCACCACAC
rnacentral:tRNA from 1 species